UACGUAGGGGGCAAGCGUUGUUCGGAAUUACUGGGCGUAAAGGGCGCGUAGGCGGCACGGCAAGUCGGGAGUGAAAGCCCGGGGCUCAACCCCGGAAUGGCUUUCGAAACUGCUGAGCUAGAGUACAGAAGGGGCAACCGGAAUUCCCAGUGUAGCGGUGAAAUGCGUAGAUAUUGGGAAGAACACCUGAGGCGAAGGCGGGGUGCUGGGCUGAUACUGACGCUGAGGCGCGAAAGCCAGGGGAGCAAACGGG
rnacentral:rRNA from 1 species